UGCAGCGGGCGGGACCGAGAGGGAGAAAGACACCAACUAUCAGCUGGAAUCCAGAUAAAAACCCCGGCCCUGUCACUGCCCACCAACAUUUCACACCGGAUUUAAUCCGCCCACGAUCAGACACCGACCGAUGUAACGGGAGGGAGGAGAGCAACCCCGUUUUGGGAAAGAGAUGCCUGGCCAGAGUUCAUGUUGAACUGAAGGCCCUCGAACCCCUGGCUACCCCAGUCUCCUCCCAUCUGACCAAUCGUCUUCCCGACGUGAGCAGCCAUGACCAAAUCCUACGAGUUCAACUGGCAGAAGAGCGUCCCCGCGUUCCUGCAGUUGGGGGCCUCCUUCCACAGGUUCGAGGAGG